rnacentral:rRNA from 1 species
ACACAAAAAUGCACAUAUUGUGAGCUCGAUGAGUAGGGCGGGACACGUGGUAUCCUGUCUGAAUAUGGGGGGACCAUCCUCCAAGGCUAAAUACUCCUGACUGACCGAUAGUGAACCAGUACCGUGAGGGAAAGGCGAAAAGAACCCCGGCGAGGGGAGUGAAAAAGAACCUGAAACCGUGUACGUACAAGCAGUGGGAGCACGCUUAGGCGUGUGACUGCGUACCUUUUGUAUAAUGGGUCAGCGACUUAUAUUCUGUAGCAAGGUUAACCGAAUAGGGGAGCCGAAGGGAAACCGAGUCUUAACUGGGCGUUAAGUUGCAGGGUAUAGACCCGAAACCCGGUGAUCUAGCCAUGGGCAGGUUGAAGGUUGGGUAACACUAACUGGAGGACCGAACCGACUAAUGUUGAAAAAUUAGCGGAUGACUUGUGGCUGGGGGUGAAAGGCCAAUCAAACCGGGAGAUAGCUGGUUCUCCCCGAAAGCUAUUUAGGUAGCGCCUCGUGAAUUCAUCUCCGGGGGUAGAGCACUGUUUCGGCAAGGGGGUCAUCCCGACUUACCAACCCGAUGCAAACUGCGAAUACCGGAGAAUGUUAUCACGGGAGACACACGGCGGGUGCUAACGUCCGUCGUGAAGAGGGAAACAACCCAGACCGCCAGCUAAGGUCCCAAAGUCAUGGUUAAGUGGGAAACGAUGUGGGAAGGCCCAGACAGCCAGGAUGUUGGCUUAGAAGCAGCCAUCAUUUAAAGAAAGCGUAAUAGCUCACUGGUCGAGUCGGCCUGCGCGGAAGAUGUAACGGGGCUAAACCAUGCAC